GUGCUUGUUUUGGCAGCACAUAUACUAAAAUUGAAACACAGAGAAGAUUAGCAUGGCCUCUGUGCAAGGAUGACACCAAAUAUGUGAAGAGCUUCACAGUUUU